rnacentral:lncRNA from 1 species
CGGAGAUCGGGGACGCGGGGCGGGGGCUCUGCUACCGGGUCCGGAUCCGAGCCUUGUCAUUGUCAGAUACCUGGUGCUGCUUCUCUCUCCCUGCCCCUCGCUCAUCCUUGCGUGCGUGCGUGUCGGCCUUUCACUCCAAGCACUACACCGAGCCUUAUAUUUAUCCCCUUUCCCCUAGCGGACUUAUUCAGGUGCGUCACUAUCCUCCUAUUUCCCUCACCCUUGUCUUGUCCAGAGGAACCGUCCCCAAACUAGCCUCCGCUCGUGCUCACCGGCCAUUGGAGCCACAGCUCACCCAUCUUCUUGCGUCUGUAACUAGGAUUCUUGUUUGGAGCCCCGAGUCCGGCAGCUCAGGACCGGUUGCUGGAACCUCCGCAUUUUAGUGAAAAACUUCACAUGACGACCUGGCGAUUCAGCAAACGUCUUAGGAUCCGAGGAAUUUAUUAAGAAGGGAUUCCCAAGCAGAGCUGCGCCCCAGUCAAGGGAGGGCGUGGAUGAAAGAAGACCUCAGGGAGCAGGUGCAUUCUAGCACGAAUUGAAGAGAGAAAGCAAGAUCAUUUCCUAGAGACAUGGCAGGCUUGGGUAAAACUUAUGCAUAAUUAACCAGGAGUACCUGGCAGGAUAGGUUGGAUGGCUGGAGGCAAGAACAAAAGAUUCGAAGACUCCAAGUGAUUUGGAAAGAUGCCUUGACCCUUGAAGAAAGAGGGUCUCAAAAACCUGUGUGUUCUAAAAAGUUCAACAUGUAAGUUUCUCUCAGUGAUACCCUGGGGGUAUGGCUGGGUUUAACUGAUCUCUAACCUGUGGUACAGGCGACAAUAAGCACUAAGCACCUUAUAGUUUUCAAAUCUUUUAGGUAUCAUGCAUCCCAUUUUACAGAAGAGGAAAUGGGGGCACCCUUGACCAUAAAGAACAGGCCUAAGUGGUAGAAGGGGAACCUGAACCCAGGUAUGCUGUUUCUAGAUUUCAUGUAUUUCAGCUGGAACAUCCAGCAACCCGUUUUACUCAAAGGAAGAAAGGAAUGAUUUAGGAAAAGCUUUCAGUUUUCGUUUUUAAGUUCAUUUCAAGAAUAAAAGGCUACCUUCCUAACUACAGCAAAUCCUGUAAGUAAAUUAAGGAAGAUUUACUUAGGAGAGGCUCAAGGUGGCUUUAAGAUAUGGAUAAAAAUUAUUUAUAACUGGGAUAUCAUUCUGUAUUGUAAAUGAAUAGAAUUACUUAACAGUCUCUUUAGAAGUGUUGGCCUUCUCUCUGAAAUAUUUUCCACUAGUAAUUGAUUUAGCAAACUCUUACACAAUUAGGCCAAAGGCAAACUCUGGUCUUGUGUCUGACCUAGCACACAUUCCUGAUUAAUGGAUUUUAAUAAAUAAGGUUUGCUGCAGUUAUUUAACCAGUAUUUUCUUUUAGUGUUCUCUGGUUUCCCACUGUCUGUUUUAAAGUGAAAUCUAAUUUCCUUUCACAUCUGGACGGAGGGCCCAUGCUAACUUGCUAACUUGUGAAAGGGAUUAAGACUCAGGCACUUAAUUCAAGCCUAGGAAUGAUAAACCUAAAUGCAGGGCAGACAGGGAAAAAAAAUUUCUUUUCAUGUUCCCUUUGUCACUCCACAAACAGCCUAAGCUGUAGCCUGUAAAAAAUGUUGAUCUUAUAAUAAUUCCCACAUUUAGCAACCUCUUUGUUGCAUGAUCAGCUCACUUACAUAAUUGGAAAAAAUACAAUAAAAAGUUCAUUUCAAGCAAAAUAAUGGAAUUGGCUGUAAAUGAGUGUGCA